UUUUGUAAAAAUUGUAUAGGGUCGCAAACGACCCGAGGUGUGUAUGAGUGUACGUAUAUUUUUUCUGCACAACAAUAAUUGAAUCUUAGAUGAUGGAAUAAGUGCAAUUCACCUUUAUUCCACAAGGCGGCAAUGUCUGAAACACAAUGCUAAAGUGACAACUCAUUCAGACAGAAAACUAAAUAAUAAGAAAAACAUGAAAUGGCUCAGCGAUUUACUACAGAGCAAGUACUGAACGCAAUCAAAUAUGACAGUAACUGUCACUGGAUGGAUCUCAUGAGGUUGUUACCCAGCAAACAUAGUAUGUUGUGACGACGUCGUCAGUUAGUCGUCAUUUGGUCAGCGUGACAUUACUUUAUGACAACGUUGUGAGGACGUUGUGGUAAUGUUCAAUUCUUGGCUAACGUUCCAGAAACAUCGCGGGCACAUCCUCAAAAGACGUCGCUGGUUAAUACCACGGAGAAUGUUGUAGCGACGUGGUCCAUAGGUCUCCUGAUAACUUUCCAGAUAUGUAACUUUUUUGUGUUCAAAAUUUACAAAUAUUAUACAAUGGGAAUGUACAACAUGAAUACAUUUUCCAAACCGUGUUUUUGUUGUACCCUGAAUCAUUAUGGUACACCUAGAAUAAGUGUUUAUAUUCAGACUAUUUUAGACCAGUCUGGUAGGAACCGCUGCGGAGUAGCACAAAUACCUGCGUGACUCGUCAUAGACAUAAACAGAGAAGUAGCUCCGGCUACAAUGGUCUUAGGCAAGAUGCAUGCAGUUCUGUUUAACCGGUAGAGCGCCAAAAGUUACGGACUUGUUUAUAUAUUAUAUGUUGUGUUUGUGAAUGAAGGAGAUUUAUUGGAUGGGGCACGUGCGAGACAAAUUCGAAAUUUUAAACAAGCAAGUCAAACGGACUUUCGGAGAAUCUGAGUACUGCGCAUGCGCAUCAUUUUGUUCUGUAACGGUCGACUUCCAGCAGACGGACACGGAGUAAAAGCAGCUGGAGGAGAGACAGCCUGUGCAGCAACAACAAGACAACAAUGAUUAUAAGCAGGGGUGGACUGCACGGGUCCAGGAUCAAGAGAUCAUUCAUCAUUCAUCAUGCAGACCAUGUUCCAGGAGAAGCAGCGUAUCCUGGGUCUGCUUGAUCAUUUUGUUGUCCUGGAUGUGAGAACAUGGUCAAAAGGUGUGUCAAUCAAGCAGCCUUCUCGUUAAAAGGCUCAGGAGGACAAACAGGUAAUUCACAGGGUUGAAUUUCACAAUUCAGUUACUCACAGAGACAAGGAGAUGUUAAUAAUUCUGAAUUUGAGGGGUCAGCAAUUUUACUAUUUGAUACAUUUACACUUUUUAUUUAAUUCAGAAUGAAAUCAUUGUGAUUGAUGAAUCUGAAUAUAGGUGAUGUGUACAUUUAUUUAGAAAUCGGAUUUGAUAUUUUAAAAUGCACUGUCUGUCCAAAAUUACAGACUUUCCCGCUGUUGGUGCGUAUUAACCAUCAUCCUGU